AGUGAACGCUGGCGGUAGGCCUAACACAUGCAAGUCGAACGGCAGCACAGUAAGAGCUUGCUCUUACGGGUGGCGAGUGGCGGACGGGUGAGGAAUACAUCGGAAUCUACUUUUUCGUGGGGGAUAACGUAGGGAAACUUACGCUAAUACCGCAUACGACCUACGGGUGAAAGCAGGGGAUCUUCGGACCUUGCGCGAUUGAAUGAGCCGAUGUCGGAUUAGCUAGUUGGCGGGGUAAAGGCCCACCAAGGCGACGAUCCGUAGCUGGUCUGAGAGGAUGAUCAGCCACACUGGAGCUAAGACACGGUCCAGACUCCUACGGGAGGCAGCAGUGGGGAAUAUUGGACAAUGGGCGCAAGCCUGAUCCAGCCAUACCGCGUGGGUGAAGAAGGCCUUCGGGUUGUAAAGCCCUUUUGUUGGGAAAGAAAAGCAGCAGGUUAAUACCCCGCUGUUCUGACGGUACCCAAAGAAUAAGCACCGGCUAACUUCGU
rnacentral:rRNA from 1 species